rnacentral:rRNA from 1 species
ACGAACGCUGGCGGCGUGCUUAACACAUGCAAGUCGAACGGUGAAGCGCCUUCCUUUUUGGUGGGUGUGGAUGAGUGGCGAACGGGUGAGUAACACGUGAGUAACCUGCCCCCUUCUUCUGGAUAACCGCAUGAAAGUGUGGCUAAUACGGGAUAUUCUGGGUCUGUCGCAUGAUGGGUCUGGGAAAGAUAUUGUUUCGGUGGGGGAUGGGCUCGCGGCCUAUCAGCUUGUUGGUGGGGUGAUGGCCUACCAAGGCGGUGACGGGUAGCCGGCCUGAGAGGGUGGACGGUCACACUGGGACUGAGACACGGCCCAGACUCGUACGGGAGGCAGCAGUGGGGAAUAUUGCACAAUGGGCGCAAGCCUGAUGCAGCGACGCCGCGUGAGGGAUGGAGGCCUUCGGGUUGUGAACCUCUUUCGCCAGUGAAGCAGGCCUGCCUCGUUUGUGGGUGGGUUGACGGUAGCUGGAUAAGAAGCGCCGGCUAACUACGUG